CGGCCGCUGCCGCCUCAGCUGCAUUUUCAGGCCGCCGCUUCCUGCCACCAGAACCAUGGCCCGUGACGUGCGGGAUGCAGCCUGGGGAGCGGCUCCGGCUGAGGGACACGGUUGCUCCUCAGUGACAUGGAGCUCCGUGGUCUUAAGGACCAGAAAUCCCUCUAGUCUGCCGAUAAGCCAUGUGGUGUACCGGUGCUCGGUGCUGGUUACAUAAUACUGCAUCUCUUAGAAACAGUAUUUUCGAGCCUUAAAAAUGAUGGCUGUGCCCUCGGGGCGCUGGGUUUGUUUAUCAUGGGCCCACAGGCCAGCUCUGUGUGGCAAACCCUGGGGCCACCCUUGGACUGUGCCAGCAUCACUGAAGGGUCAUCCCCGGUCCCUCAGAGCACUGUCACACCAGCUGGGGUUUGUGACGGGGACAGUAAAAUCCACUCAGAGGCAGAUGGACCUUGCCCCAUCUGAAGGGCACUGGAGAAAAAGAAAUGAUAAGAUAAAAAACUGUCCACAAUGCAAUGUUUAUAAACCUGCUUUUUUAUUUUUUUUUUUUUUGUAUUCUUCCAAAAGAGCCAUGUGUUAUAUUGAUGGUAACAACCAUUCUGAGCUGUGUUAAUGGGUGCUUUAUAUAACUGGAUGGAAAAAUCCUUCCUCUCAUUUCAGAUAUUUAGUUUCCUCUGUUUACCGGGUGUUGGAGCUUCCUACGUGGAGAAAGCUCUCAAGGAGCAAGUCACAUUUUCCAGGGUGCCGUGUACAUGGAGAGAUGAGGUCGGUGCUGGAACAGCCCUGUGUGCCUGUGCCAUGGGUGGAGCACUCUGGCACAGAGCCAGGAGUGACAGGGGUUUAAUGCCACUGACAGUAAACAGGUCAUACCCAGAAAAUGCCAUCUGAGCAGGAGCCUGAGCCAUCCCCAAAGGAAGAGUUCUGGAAAGAGCUGAGCUUCAUCUCCAGCCUUCUAGGGAGUGAUUUAGCUGCUUCAACCCAUUUCUGUUAUUGCUGAGAGGUAGGAUGGGAGUGUCCAGGAACACCCUAAUGCUUUGGAGACAGGAGGAUCUCUCUCUCUGACCAGUGUGGCUACUGCAAAAGGGGACAAAUGUCCAUGCUGGAAACUGCAAGCACAGGAAGAACAGAGCUUUGCCUUGUGCUUUGGGCAGGCAAUUACCUCUGUGCAGAGAGGCCAAAAAAAGACUGAUGAAAAUUCCACCUUUUUAAAUGCAGAGAUUGGAAAGGUACCAGGCAGAGAGAACUCCACGUGCUGCUGAACCAGCCCGAGACACCCCCGUGCAACACCAUGGUGACAAUCACCUUUUGUUCUUCACAUCCCUCUCUCUUUCGGCUGUUGCUGACAAAACUCCGAACUCUUUUUCUGCUUCAUUUCCCCGGCCCAGCUUUUCUCCUGCUCAGCAAACGUGCUGUGUGCUGAAGGACUCCCGUGGACUUUGCAUCCUUGAGGAAGCCUUUUUGCCAGAGGAAACGUCAGGGUGUUCAUCUAUGGCAGUGUGUAGCAGGAGCAAAAAGGAAAACACCUCUUAGGCAGGGCUUGAUUGCCAGCUGAAAAUAAGCAAAGUGCCUGUCAGUGACAUGUGAGCACAAAAAAGCUUUGCAGAUGGAAAUAAAGGCAAUGCUUUUUCCUCUUC